rnacentral:rRNA from 1 species
UUUCCGGUUGAUCCUGCCGGAGGCCACCGCUAUUGGAAUACGCUUAAGCCAUGCGAGUCGAGAGUCUUAGGGACUCGGCGGACUGCUCAGUAACACGUGGAUAACCUACCCUCAGGAGGGGGAUAACCUCGAGAAAUUGAGACUAAUACCCCAUAGGUUCAACAUGCUGGAAUGCGGUUGAGCUCAAAAGCUCCGGCGCCUGAGGACGGGUCUGCGGCCUAUCAGGUUGUAGUGAGGGUAACGGCCUCACUAGCCAGCGACGGGUACGGGCCAUGGGAGUGGUAGCCCGGAGAUGGACUCUGAGACACGAGUCCAGGCCCUACGGGGCGCAGCAGGCGCGAAAACUUCACAAUGCGGGAAACCGCGAUGAGGGUAUCCCAAGUGCUGUUACAUUGUAGCAGCUUUUCACCAGCCUAAAUAGCUGGUGGAAUAAGGGCUGGGUAAGUCUGGUGCCAGCCGCCGCGGUAAUACCAGCAGCUCAAGUGGUGGUCGUUAUUAUUGAGCCUAAAGCGUCCGUAGCCGGACUGGUAAACCUCUGGGUAAAUCGGGGAGCUCAACUCUCCGACUUCCGGAGAGACUGCUAGUCUUGGGACUGGGAGAGGUCGGAGGAACUCUAGGGGUAGGGGUGAAAUCCUGUAAUCCUUAGAGGACCACCAGUGGCGAAGGCGUCCGACUAGAACGGGUCCGACGGUGAGGGACGAAGCCUAGGGGAACAAACCGGAUUAGAUACCCGGGUAGUCCUAGGUGUAAACGCUGCAGGCUUGGUGUUGGGGGUCUUACGAGGGCGCCCAGUGCCGGAGAGAAGUUGUUAACCUGCCGCUUGGGGAGUACGGUCGCAAGACUGAAACUUAAAGGAAUGGCGGGGGAGCACCGCAAACAGAUUUGC